CUCUUUCCCCCAGUGGAUUGGUUCACACAGUUUAGUGUGAGAUACCACGUUAAAUCUCGUGUCCUUCCUUCUUGUUACUUUCUGGUUCUUGAGUUUGUGUGUGUGUGCAGUUUAUUCCUAACAUCCUUUAGUACUCAUUUGGCUUCAUGUGUCUUUUUUUGUCUGGAUAGAGCACUAUACUUGGUUGGCUAGCGGAUGUUUAUGAAAAUUUUAUUGGAAUGUCAAAAUGAUACAUGGAGGCUAAUGGGUAUAACUACUGCUACAGUGUCACUGUUGCAUUCUGAAGAAUUAUAUCCCAUCUUCUUAUGGAAAUCUUAGAUUAUUCAUUAAUUUGUUGUCAUGUUCUGUUAGGAAUACAGUAUUAUUAAUUUAGAGCAGGUGCUGAGUAAUAGAGAUUUCAUAGUUUUUGCUAAACACCCGUGGAGUAUAUUUAAGGAGGCAUUAGUGAUUGGUGUAGGCUUUCUCACUAGCAUAGAGACUCGGAUAUAUAUUUUUGGUUUACAAUUUGUCUAGAUUCUUCGAAAGCACAAAUACUGCUGUCGGUGAUACAGCUAUACUGAUUGAGUUUUUCUUUAUCCUUUGCCCUCAAUUUGUUAUGCAUUUAUUUACAUCGUACCGUCCUAAUUUCACUUGAAGAUAGUACUGUACAUGGUGUCAAAUGAUAUUUCUCAUUGUUUUGUAUACUGAUUGUAGGAUAUGCACAGUUCAUUACACUAUCUUUCACAAGUGCUACUGCUAUAUGGCAUGACAACGAUCAUUAGGACUUUGGUUUGGAAUUUAUAAUUCACUUGCCGUAGGUUUAUGGGUGGUAGAAAGCUCUGAACUAGAGAAGUUGUCGGAUAAUAUAUAUAUAGGGCGGGAGAUCAGAGAUAUAAUGAUGGUUGUGGUGGUGGAUGAAGGACAGAGGAAUGAUCACAUUGAGUAUUUUGUGCGAAAGUACCACCACCAUAUUUUUAUCUUUACGACCACGGUGGCAUGGUCCACCAUUUCCCUUUGCCGUCAAACUACCACCGCCGUCGGAGCUGUUGUUGUUGCGGCUAUACUAUAUCAUAAUAUGUACUCUCUAAUAGAUUAGAUAUCUUUGAUUUAUGUUGAACUUCAUUUUGUUGAAUGAUUGUGUUUCACCUGUGUGUUGAAUUUUUGUGGCAACACACAUUUGAUUUGGAUGGUAUUGUGAUGGAAAUGAAUGAAUGGAAAUGAGGAACACCGAUCUUUAUUCA